rnacentral:rRNA from 1 species
UACGUAGGUGGCAAGCGUUAUCCGGAAUUAUUGGGCGUAAAGCGCGCGCAGGUGGUUUCUUAAGUCUGAUGUGAAAGCCCACGGCUCAACCGUGGAGGGUCAUUGGAAACUGGGAGACUUGAGUGCAGAAGAGGAAAGUGGAAUUCCAUGGUGGUAGCGGUGAAAUGCGUAGAGAAUAUGGAGGAACACCAGUGGCGAAGGCGACUUUCUGGUCUGUAACUGACACUGAGGCGCGAAAGCGUGGGGAGCAAACAGG